GGGUCAGUAGGUUGGUCGUGCCACCGGUACGUACUGGUCUCACUGAUUCCUCCUUCCUGAAGAACCUUAAUGCCAUUAAUUUGGUGUUGCGGGGAAACAGGACUGUUACUUUGAAAAAUUAGAGUGUUUAAAGCAAGCUAACGCUUGAAUACAUUAGCAUGGAAUAAUGAAAUAGGACGAUCGAUCCUAUUUUGUUGGUCUCUAGGAUUGACGUA
rnacentral:rRNA from 1 species